rnacentral:rRNA from 1 species
AGCGAACGCUGGCGGCGUGGUUUAGACAUGCAAGUCGAGCGGAAAGGCCCUUCGGGGCACUCGAGCGGCGAACGGGAGAGUAAUACCUGGGUAACCAUCCCCGGAGACGGGAAUAGCCACUGGAAACGGUGGGUAAUGCCCGAUAGCCCCCGCGGGCCGCAGGGCCUGCGGAGUAAAAGGUGACUCCGCUCCGGGACGGGCUCAGGGCCCAUUAGCUAGUUGGCGGGGUAACGGCCCACCAAGGCGACGAUGGGUAGCGGGCCUGAGAGGGUGGUCCGCCUCACUGGGACUGAGACACUGCCCAGACUCCUACGGGAGGCUGCAGUCGCGAAUCAUUGGCAAUGCGCGCAA